UAGAUAUUCUUUAGGUCUUAACUUGCGCCUCGAGUUAUCUCUCUCUCUACUCUCUGGUAUCAUAAAAAUCGUGAUAUCAAAAGGAGAACAGGAGGGGUUAAAUCUCGUUUCUACAUAUCGUGAAAUCAAACUCUGUACGGACGGAGAUCGCGUAGUGGAAGAUGAAGAUUUUCGUUAAAACUCUCAAAGGAACCACCUUCGACAUCGAAGUUAAACCCGAGGACACGGUUUGUUUUUUCCUCUGCCCUUUUCAUUUUCUCAAUUGGAAUGGCUUAAUUGGAGUAGUUUUAUUUUGAAUUUCUCAAUUUCAUGUUUUGUUGAUGCGUUUUUUCUAUUUGUUAUUGAAGGACUGGGUGAUUAGGGUUUAUGUAUCUGUUUUUGUUGUGUAUUGUGUUGUUUUACGUUUGCCGAGAAUGCGAUGAGAGUGUAAAUUAAUUGAUUACUGUGAAUUCUUUGUCUAAAUUUUAGUGUUUUGAGUGCUUUUUCUUUUCUUUUUUUUGUUUCUCUUGGUUUCGUCAAGGUUUAAUUUGUCUCUGUAAGAGGUGUUAGGUAGGUUCGCUUGUUGAAUUGUGUGGGACAUGAAGAGAGAUUGUUUGAAUUUAGGUAUUGAAGCGUAAACCUCGCUAAUUGUUUACUUCAGGAGUGAAGUUUUUGCAGUGUACCUACAAUUUGGCAUUGUUGUGAUUAAAUGAGGGAUUUAUUCAAUUGGGUAUUGGUAAGACUAUGUUGUGGGCUUUGUGAUUGAUGGGCGUAUUUGAUGUGUGCCUGAUUUUAAGAUGUACAGCAAAUAUGCUUUUACUUCAGUACAAGCAAUGUGUGAGAUUGUCACCCUCUUGAGUUUUCUUCUUAGAGGGGCAAGCUAAUUAUAUAAAGCAGAUUCCUUUCAGUGUGGAAAUAGCAUUGAGAAGAAGAGGGAUCUUGUUAUAUAUUGCAUUUAUUUUAACUACAAUACUAGUCCUUCCGCAUGCAUGUAGCUUGCGUGUAUGCACAAAGAGACAGAUUAUAUUGUUUGUCAUAUCUGUGUAGGAUUGCGAACAAACGGUCACUUCCCAUUCAUCUUUAACGCUCUUGUAUAACCGUGCUUUGGAUUUUUGUUAUGCAACGCUGGCUUCUCACACAUGGUGCAUGCAAUUUAUAUAGACAACAAACGUCUAACAACUAGAGCAUAACCCGUGCUUGUUUUAUAUGAUCGCUUUCAUGCCUUUAAAACAGUAAUCUCUUAUUGACAUUCACAUCUACAGUUAUUGACAAUCCAUAUAAUAUAUCACUCUUUUAUGCUAGUAACGUGCUUUCCUUCUUGUAAAAAAAAAUACCAUGUUUUGCCUUUAUUUCCAUUACAACAUCGUCCUUCUUUUACGCAACAUUUUCUUGUGUAUAUAUAGUCAAUAAAUUGU
rnacentral:lncRNA from 1 species